UUAAUACUCCCUCUGUCUUAAAAUUCUUGUCUUACAUUUGUCUAAAUACGGAUGUAUCAAGUUACGAUUUAGUAUUAGAUACAUCCGUAUCUAGACAAAUGUAAGACAUGAAUUUUGGGACGGAGGGAGUAUAUU
rfam:Triticum aestivum genome assembly, contig: Triticum_aestivum_CS42_TGACv1_scaffold_033104_1BL